GUCGGUGCACAAGUGCUUAUCAGCUGCUCCCAGCUCAGUCCAGGCCCUCCAACGGGAAGCCUUUCCUCUGCGCCUGUAGGCUCACUUUGGCCGGUUUUAAUUCUAAUGAGGCAGAAACACCUGCAGUCCAUUUGGUGAGUCAUGUAASCCUAGCUUCUCCAUCUCCCCUCGUUGGCAAUAAAACACUAAGUGAGGGGUCAAAAUAAAUGUUCAACCCUGA